rnacentral:rRNA from 1 species
UUUUUUUAAAAAUUUGUGCGUUUUUUGAAGGGGCAAAAAUUUUUCCCCAACAGAGAAAAAAAAAAGGGGGGGUCGAGGCCCCCGGUGGGGCUCUCUUUUCCACCGCCCCCGCGGGUAUAGAGAGGGCGCGCGCUUCUUUUUUUUUUUUUUGCGUGUAAAGCGCGCGUACGCGGUUUUUAAUCUAAGAGGAGAAGGCCCGGCGCGCUCUCCGUCCCCAGCCUUUGAUAAUAUAUCACUAACUCUCUAGAGAUCACAGUCCAAUUCAAAGUGUAGAUGUGAAUUACGUAUAUAUUCGAUAGAACACCAGUCGCGAAGGCGACUGACUGCACAAGUAAUGACUCUGAGGUGCGAAAGUGUGGAGAGCACACAGG